CGUUUUAGCUCAGUUGGCAGAGCAACCGGCUUUUACCCGGUCGGCCGCAGGUUCAAAUCCUGCAAACGG
rnacentral:tRNA from 1 species